rnacentral:rRNA from 1 species
AGAGUUUGAUCCUGGCUCAGGAUGAACGCUAGCUACAGGCUUAACACAUGCAAGUCGAGGGGAAACGACAUCGAAAGCUUGCUUUUGAUGGGCGUCGACCGGCGCACGGGUGAGUAACGCGUAUCCAACCUGCCCAUCACUUGGGGAUAACCUUGCGAAAGUAAGACUGAUACCCAAUGAUAUCUCUAGAAGGCAUCUGAAAGAGAUUAAAGAUUUAUCGGUGAUGGAUGGGGAUGCGCCUGAUUAGCUUGUUGGCGGGUAACGGCCACCAAGCAACGAUCAGUAGGGGUUCUGGAGAGGAAGGUCCCCCACAUUGGAACUGAGACACGGUCCAAACGUCCUACGGGAGGCA